rnacentral:lncRNA from 1 species
AAUAAUCUUCGCCUUAUCUCUCGAUCCAGAUUCCAGGACAAUACUUCUGUUUUGGUACUACGGGUGUCCGUUGAGACACGAUAGAAGCCCAUGCUCACCAAUCAUCCAUCCUGGCAGCAGUAAACCAGUCUAACAGAUAACAGCAGCCAGCAAGCUUCCACUUCCAGAUCCAGACUAUCCAGAGUUCCAGUUACAGGCUAGCAUUCCAGCAGUAGCAAGCAAAGGCUGGGAACCAGGGACUGCCGAACUGCAGCAGGGAACCACGAUCCCCGUAGGCUGGUAGGCGGUAUUCACGGACCACGUAAAUGAAAAGUACAGAGCAUUUUUAUUUAAAUCAACGAAAUUUCUGUAAUAACCUACGCCAUGUGCUUUAUCAACCAAAAAAACGUCGUACCAAUCAUAAAAACGACGAAGGGAGUUUCAGCGGGGCGUUGUAAUACUGAAUCACAUACAGCUGAGUGGUGUUGAUUAUAUCAUCAACUGUACGUUUCCAUGAAUCACUUUGCCCAACUGACCUUCUAAAUAUAAGUGAUAGUUUACAAUAAGAACUUCGAGACAGCCUCGCAAUCCUCACUUUCAGGGCUAUCACAUGACGAAAACCAUUCCAGCAACAGUUGCCGAAUUUCCGGCAAAGUAGAAGCGCCACUCAAAGCUAAUUCUUCUUUUGGUGCUUCAAGACGUUUUGCAUCUAUUACUACCUUCUAGAUUACAACGAUUUCAAAGGAACCAAUUAAGAAAAGAUGCAGCAAAAGAACAAAUUACCUUUAGGCUGCGCUUAUCUUCUCCUCGGCACAUAUAAUAGAAGGUUUGCCCUUGCUUUUGGCCGAAUUCUUGUUGAAGCUUUCCUAAGACAGGCAUUGACGCCUAACGCAUGAAACCGAUGAGCCAUAGAUCUUCCGACACCCGCCAUAAGCAUAUUAGGGCCCAUUCCGACAGAGGCGUUACACCGUGUUUUGCUGAAGAUAACUUCUUUCAAGUGCGUCGCGAAGUCUGAUGGUGUAAGUCCAGUUUGUCGCAAAACUGUGGUAAUGUCCGCAUACAACUCAUCACAACUGACGGCUUCCAAGUCCAGGGUAUAGGAAGCCACAGUAUUGUAUAGUAAAGUGGACACCUGUCAACACGAAAGAAUUGGUUGAAUUGGCUAAAAGAUGGAUUCUCUAUGAUAUCACCAUACUUCCUUAUAUCCUUCAAAAUCGUAAGGAAUCGCAACGAGAGAUGGACAUAACUUCAAGGCUGCUCCCAUGAACAUUCCGUUAUAAAUACCAGCUGCACGAGCUUCAUAGCUGCAUGAAGCGAUUUCAGACAUGGAACAUGUUUCAUCCAAAUCUUGUAGCCGGGGAAAUACAUCUUGUUCUUUAUAGCAUUCGAAUUCAUAUUCCCGAUUACGGCCUUCACGUCUUGGGAGCGGCUUGGAAUCAGCUUUUUCAUGGGUCACGACAACUGGUUUGCCCACCAGGGACGGAUAGUUCCGCAGCCCAACCGAAACAAAGAAGCAAUCCAUAUCAAUGUGCAUGAACACAGUAUCUUCGUUUUUAUGGCUCCCUUGGUACCCAGAUGUUUUUUUCCAAUUUUCUAUGUUUUCCAUCCCUUUAUUUCAGAAAUUCCAUAAGAGAACACAGCAGUUCCUUUGAAAUAAAGAUCGGAAAAUUA